rnacentral:lncRNA from 1 species
AUGACUUGUGAUUUCAUCCAAACUGAUUUGCUUGUUCCUACCACAGUGUUUCUCUGGAUCUUUUCAAACCUCUGCAAAGAGUUUAUCCACAUGAUACUCAUUAAAGUCUCAUUUGAAAGGAUAAAGAAAAAAAAAAAAAGCCCAAAGCUUUUUGAAAAAGGCAGGGUUAUCUGAGCUGCAAAUGUACUGAUCAUUUCAUACAUUGUAAUGACAAUAAGUCAUUUUGAAGCCUGAAGUUUCACGACUGGAAUUCUGAUUUGAGCUUUGCAAGUCCUUGAGGUCCACUCUGCUGCAGCGAUGUGUUGGGAGCAACAUGGAUGCCGGAAUUUUGGAAAAAGUCAAAAGACUGGUCACAGGGUGAUUAUAAGAAAACUGUAUACUAGACCCAGUGAGAGAUCUGUUCAUUCCAAAUCCUCUGUCUUAUACUCCUGGUCUUUCAUUAACAAAGAGAUUAGUAUUUGCUAUAAUUUUCUGAUCCUAAACAAUUUCAGUAAGGUCCUCUCUAUGGCUCUUGCCUUAUAAAAUGAACGGAAAAAAGAAUUGAAAAUGACUAAAU